UCGGGAAUUUUGGGCAAUGGGGGCAAGCCUGAUCCAGCCAUACCGCGUGAGUGAAGAAGGCCUUCGGGUUGUAAAGCUCUUUCAGACGGAAAGAAACGGUUACGGCUAAUACCCGUGACUAAUGACGGUACCGUAAGAAGAAGCACCGGCUAACUACGUGCCAGCAGCCGCGGUAAUACGUAGGGUGCGAGUGUUAAUCGGAAUUACUGGGCGUAAAGCGUGCGCAGGCGGUUUGGUAAGACAGGUGUGAAAUCCCCGGGCUUAACCUGGGAACUGCAUUUGUGACUGCCAGACUAGAGUGUAGCAGAGGGGGGUAGAAUUCCACGUGUAGCAGUGAAAUGCGUAGAUAUGUGGAGGAAUACCGAUGGCGAAGGCAGCCCCCUGGGCUAACACUGACGCUCAUGCACGAAAGCGUGGGGAGCAAACAGGAUUAGAUACCCUUGUAGUCCCUGAGCGGGCUGGCAAGGCGCAU
rnacentral:rRNA from 1 species